GUUUGGAUUGACUUAAAUGUGCUGUGGUGAGUUUUUUCUUGAGUCGAUACUUGGGGAUUAAUAUUAUGAUACCCGAAAACUGUCUACUAUAACAAUUCAUAUUUCUAUUUGCAAAUGUU